rnacentral:tRNA from 1 species
GCUGCAAUGGCCGAGAGGUUAAGGCGUUAGACUUGAAAUCCAAUGGGGUUUCCCCGCGCAGGUUCGAAUCCUGCUUGCAGCG